rnacentral:rRNA from 1 species
GGGCACGGGGAAACGAGAUCCGCCUGCCGCGUGUGUGAAGAAGGCCUUUUGGUUGUAAAGCACUUUAAGCGAGGAGGAGGCUACUGGUAUUAAUACUACCGGAUAGUGGACGUUACUCGCAGAAUAAGCACCGGCUAACUCUGUGCCAGCAGCCGCGGUAAUACGAU